ensembl:lncRNA
UCUCAAAGAAAUAAAGAUGUUACCUAAUUUUUCUGAACUAAAUACUCACCUUGCUUUAGGACACCUUGAUGUGAUUACCAGUAGGAUCCAUGUAAUAUAUAAGAUUCCUCAGAUUAAAUCUGAGGACUGUUUCCUAUUUUUUCAUGAACUACGCUCUCUCUCAGCUGUAACAAAGGCACAAAGAGCUUAGGUCCUCCCAAUGGCAAUGUCUGCAAGGAAACUACCAUGGGAAAGGGCUGGCUGGAAAACAAGAAUACUCUGCUGUUGGAAACGGUGUAAUUUUGUUCAUUUCCAUUCCAGUGCAGAAGUGGCUGAGCAAUGUAUCUCGGAGCAGCUGCUCACCUGGGAUUUAGGGCAAUGAUCUCAACACUGCAGCCUUUUAAUGUGCAAAAAAAGAUCAGUGGUUAAUUUGCUACCCUGGAUCGGGUGGAUUACUCUCUGCUGUUCUUGCUGAGCCUUUCUCAGAAGGCUUUCCCAGGGUCAAGAUGAUCAAACCCUGGGGGAGAUGAGCCGACAGCAGCCCGCAGUCUGGGAUUAGGACCCUCUCCAGGGAACACGAGAACACUAUUUAGGCAGAGCAGAAAUUUCACUGCUGCUCAUGACCCAAACUCUUAGCUAUUCUGGAACCUUACUUCAGCAGGUUUCCUAUGUAUUUAAGAAAUCUCAUAUAAAAUUUUAUCGGAGCUGUUUCUGUGCGUGAGGUUUGCUGCUAUCACACUGAGCUACUGAACAUCUCGCUCCGUUGCUAACUGACUGGAGAGGAGUAGAUUUUAGGGAAACCAGUGCCCAGCUAAUGAGGAAAGCACUCUUUGCUGUGGACAAAGGACACGGUAGGCUGAUCUAUCAGCAAGCACAAGAAGAUAACCACUGCUUACCAGCACCUUUUUUUUCUCACAUUCCUGUGAUUAAUGCAGCAUACAAUUAGAGAGCCUAACCGGGCAGAAGUUUUGCAUCAGAGUCAAAGUGAGUGAGUUUUAGGAUGCAUAGUGUUUAUUUCCCCUUCAAACAUGUCUUUUGUUUUGUGCGUUUUAGGCUUCAUCUUAUCCUGUUGCCUUGUCUGUUGCUAGGUCAGUCUGCCAAAAAUAGGGAUGGUUGGGCCUUGGGAUAUUUGCCUGUGUUUCUGAAACCCUGGUACACAGUACACCUCACCAACUCAAAUUCAUUUCUCCCAGGCAAGGUGUACAGCAUAUAUGUUGUGCCUUUGGUGACAGAAAUGAGGAUUAAAAGCACUGAAGUUUCUGCAACUCCAUCUCUUCAAGCACUUUCUGAUAAUUCUACCAUGAAAUUAAAAAAACAGCAGGACCAGAGCAAACCUCACUGCUCCCCAGCAUCCUGCAUGGAGUCAGUGUCCCAUCGUGCCACUCUGUUGUCUCGGUGGUCAGAAUUCAGGUUCAUCUGCAGUGAGGUGCGCUGCAUCCCUGCCUUCCCUCACAGAUCACAAGAAGCCUGUCCUUGAAUGGGGUAAAUAAGGCCAAGCUUGUUAUUUGCUCUGUGGGACUGUUCUCCGCAAAGGAGACACACGCAGCCUUUGGAGAGCCACACUGAGCGUCCGGGCUGAUCUCCAGCACUGCUGCUGAUCGUCCUUGGUGCAUCGUUGCACUCCUCUGGUCUGUCUGGCAGCAGCCACUAGCACAACAACUAAUGUGCUAAGAGUCUUCCUGUCCUUUGGAGUCAGCUAAGCCCUAGAUGGUAACUGGUGCGCACUGUGUGGCUUUCUGUAGCGUUACUGCUGCAUUUAAGCUCUCCUCAGACUGGCGAUGUUCUGUUGAUUUCCUUAAUUCAGGCACUUAUCCCCCAAUGGUUUCACUUUCCUUUGGAUGAUAAUAGCAGGGAAGCUCUGCAACCGCCAGCAGAGCUGGGGGCUGAGGAAAUGCUACAAAAUCACCUCUCUCCCAGAAAUUGUUUUGUCUGCUGGCUUAACGGGAGCACUCUGGCUGCACAGCGGGUUAGAGGUUUUACCCCUAUUAUACUCACUUAAACUGCCACCUUUUUCUCAGUACUGACAUCAUUAGCUAUGACAUGUUGCUGAAGCUUUUCCACAGAGGUGACCCAGUCCUUGCUGAAGCUAUCAGACAAAGCUAAAAGCCAUAUAUAUAUAUAUAUAUGUUUAACUCUCUUCUUUCCAAUAUUGCUCACCCUGAAGCCAUGAGAGGUGCACAUCUAAUCCCACUAACUCCUUUCUGGUCCUUCUGUGCCACCAUAGCUAGAUGUGGAUUUCCAGUCCUGGCAUGCUUUCCUCACCCAGAAGUCCAUACUAGAGGUAUUUGCUAACCGUAUAGCAAUGUGAUGCCUGGAUUUGGUGAGGGAAGAGCCAGAGGGAAAAGACCUGUCAGAGGAAGAAGACCUGUCUUCUGCUGAAAAGGGAAAUCUUCACUUCCCAUACAGUUCAAACAGGAAGUUACACAUUUUUUUUUCUAUUCAUAAAACAUAAACAAAGCCAAAGGAAAAAAAAAUCAUUCUUCAGUGAUAGAAUUCUUGUAGGAGUACUGUACUGUGUCACUUGUCCUUGCAUUUAAAGGACCAGGCAGCAGUGAGCAGGGUAAGGUCACCCUCAGACUGGGACCUCUGCGAGCACCCCCAUUCCUAGGCAGGAGGCAUGGCAGGGUGCUGAGACUCACACCUCACUCAGGUGUCAUUGGCAGAUGUUCAAACCCCACAGAGCACAAGGAGCACCCUCAGCCUGCCCUCACUUCCCUCUGCUCUGUGACAUGUCACACAUGCCUUUCUUUACGUGUUUGCUGGGGAACAGAGGGCUGCCACCGUGCCCCCAGCAGCAACCAUGCAGCAGCAGCAGGGAUGCUUUGUCCCCCACUGCCACACACCUCCUCGCUUCCUUCUCCAUCUGAGACAUCACCUGGGCUUUUAGCAGCUGCCUGCAGCAAAGGAGAAUCCUGGUUUAUGAACACACUCACAAUUGCUGCAGUUCCAGCCAGGAAUAAACUGCUCUUAACCUAAAUACUCCUCUGAGGA